UACGAAGGGGGCUAGCGUUGUUCGGAAUUACUGGGCGUAAAGGGUGCGUAGGCGGGUUUGUAAGUCAGGGGUGAAAUCCUGGAGCUCAACUCCAGAACUGCCUUUGAUACUGCAGAUCUUGAGUUCGGGAGAGGUGAGUGGAACUGCGAGUGUAGAGGUGAAAUUCGUAGAUAUUCGCAAGAACACCAGUGGCGAAGGCGGCUCACUGGACCGAUACUGACGCUGAGGCACGAAAGCGUGGGGAGCAAACAGG
rnacentral:rRNA from 1 species